rnacentral:rRNA from 1 species
UACAGAGGUCUCAAGCGUUGUUCGGAUUCAUUGGGCGUAAAGGGCUCGUAGGUGGCCAACUAAGUCAGACGUGAAAUCCCUCAGCUUAACUGGGGAACUGCGUCUGAUACUGGAUGGCUUGAGUUUGGGAGAGGGAUGCGGAAUUCCAGGUGUAGCGGUGAAAUGCGUAGAUAUCUGGAGGAACACCGGUGGCGAAGGCGGCAUCCUGGACCAACACUGACACUGAGGAGCGAAAGCCAGGGGAGCAAACGGG